UUUAUGGCGGCUGUACGUGGGGCACACUCGUGUGCGCCGGGUUCCUUGCUUUCUCGGUCUGUCAACCCGCGUAUAGCUGCCACCU
rnacentral:antisense_RNA from 1 species